AUACGGAGGGUGCGAGCGUUAAUCGGAAUUACUGGGCGUAAAGCGUACGUAGGCGGUUGGUUAAGUUAGAUGUGAAAGCCCCGGGCUUAACCUGGGAACUGCAUUUAAAACUGGCGAACUAGAGUUGAGUAGAGGGGAGUGGAAUUUCAGGUGUAGCGGUGAAAUGCGUAGAGAUCUGAAGGAACACCAGUGGCGAAGGCGACUCCCUGGACUCGAACUGACGCUGAGGUACGGAAGCGUGGGUAGCAAACGGGAUUAGAAACCCGAGUAGUCC
rnacentral:rRNA from 1 species